AGUGAACGCUGGCGGUAGGCCUAACACAUGCAAGUCGAACGACAGCACAGUAAGCUCUUGCUCUUACGGUUGGCGGGUGGCGGACGGGUGAGGCAUACAUCGCCAUCUACUUUUUCGGGGGGGAUUACGUAGGGCAACUUACGCUAAUACCUCAUACGACCUACCGGUGAAAGCAGUGGUUCUUCGGACCUUGCGCGAUUGUAUUAGCCGAUGCCGGAUUAGCUAGUUGGCGUGGUAAAGUCCCACCAAGGCGACGAUCCGUAGCUGAUCUGAGAGGAUGAUCAGCCACACUGGAACUGAGACACGGUCCAGACUCCUACGGGAGGCAGCAGUGGGGAAUAUUGGACAAUGGGCGCAAGCCUGACGGAGCAAUGCCGCGUGGGUGAAGAAGGCCUUCGGGUCGUAAAGCCCUUUUGUUAGGAAAGAAAAGAAGCAGGUGAAUACCCCGCUGUUCUGACGGUACCCAAAGAAUAAGCAACGGCUAACUUCGUG
rnacentral:rRNA from 1 species